GGCCAAGUAGCUCAGUUGGUAGAGCAGCGGACUGAAAAUCCGCGUGUCGCUGGUUCGAUUCCAGCCUUGGCCACCA
rnacentral:tRNA from 1 species